rnacentral:rRNA from 1 species
AAUGAACGCUGGCGGCAGGCCUAACACAUGCAAGUCGAGCGAGCGGCGGACGGGUGAGUAAUGUAUGGGGACUGCCCGAUAGAGGGGGAUAACUACUGGAAACGGUAGCUAAUACCGCAUACUAUCGGAUAACCCAUAUGGGAUUAGCUAGUAGGUGAGGUAAUGGCUCACCUAGGCGACGAUCCCUAGCUGGUCUGAGAGGCUGAUCAGCCACAUGGGGACUGUGACACGGCCAAGACGCCAGCGGAGGCAGCAGUGGGGAAUAUGUCACAAUGGGCGGAAGCCUGAUGCAGCCAGGCCGCGUGUAUGAAGAAGGCCCUAGGGUUGUAAAGUACUUUCAGUCGGGAGGCGUUACCAACAGAAGAAGCACCGGCUAACUCCGUGCCAGCAGCCGCGGUAAUAC